rnacentral:rRNA from 1 species
CGCGUAGGUGGCGGGGUAAGCGUGUGGUGAAAGUCCGGGGCUCAACCCCGGAUCGGCCAUGCGAACUGCCCGGCUGGAGCACGGUAGAGGCACAUGGAAUUCCGGGUGUAGCGGUGGAAUGCGUAGAGAUCCGGAAGAACACCGGUGGCGAAGGCGGUGUGCUGGGCCGUUGCUGACACUGAGGCGCGACAGCGUGGGGAGCAAACAGGAUUAGAUACCCUGGUAGUCCACGCCGUAAACGAUGGGCACUAGGUCCUUGGGGGAGCGACCCCGUGAGGGCCGGCGCUAACGCAUUAAGUGCCCCGCCUGGGGAGUACGGCCGCAAGGCUGAA